AUUAAUUAAUAUGUUAAUUAAUCAAACGAAUAAGUUCGUUAAAGACCUCGGAGAUAGUUUUGGACCUUAAGGCCCAAUGGGCUUCGAACGUCAAGCCCAUUGACUUAAGUUGUAUGACAACUUAAUGAAUAAAGAUUCACAAAGGCCCAAAAGCCCAAAAAUCCCUAGGUAGGCCGGCCAUGUUAGAUGAAUUAGGGUUUUGGUUCUUUAGGUCACUUAUUUGAAGGGACUAUAUAAAUGACUUUAUAGCCAAAUAUUCAUUAUGU
rnacentral:lncRNA from 1 species